rnacentral:rRNA from 1 species
UACGGAGGGUGCGAGCGUUAUUCGGAAUUAUUGGGCGUAAAGAGCGUGUAGGCGGUUGGUCAAGUCAGAUGUGAAAGCCCGGGGCUUAACCUCGGAAGUGCAUUUGAAACUGGUCGACUUGAGUUCGGGAGAGGGAAGUGGAAUUCCGGGUGUAGAGGUGAAAUUCGUAGAUAUCCGGAGGAACACCGGUGGCGAAGGCGACUUCCUGGACCGAAACUGACGCUGAGACGCGAAAGCGUGGGGAGCAAACAGG